UCAAGGAUAACUUGCAUUUCUUUAGAUGAAAAAAUAGCAUCUGUAACAUAUAAGAUCAAAAUGAAAGGUGAUGACCAAACCACAUGCAACGAUGAUCGCCACUUGAAUUAUAUAUGACUCUUCUACACAGCGAUUGGGACUACUACGUAUAUCUAUUCGAUUGCAAGAAACAUGUUCAAACUUCUGACAUGCUAAGCACUCAUAUAUAUCAUUUAAGAAAAAAAUAUAAGCCAUAAAUUGACAAAUGCACUUAUACCUUAACCUAUGUUGCUCAGACACUAUUUUGGAGGAAGUGCAUUGUCAAACACACAACAAGGAUAAGGGUAGGAGAUCCUUCUCUGAAAGGUGAUGACCAAACCACAUGCAACGAUGAUCGCCACUUGAAUUAUAUAUGACUCUUCUACACAGCGAUUGGGACUACUACGUAUAUCUAUUCGAUUGCAAGAAACAUGUUCAAACUUCUGACAUGCUAAGCACUCAUAUAUAUCAUUUAAGAAAAAAAUAUAAGCCAUAAAUUGACAAAUGCACUUAUACCUUAACCUAUGUUGCUCAGACACUAUUUUGGAGGAAGUGCAUUGUCAAACACACAACAAGGAUAAGGGUAGGAGAUCCUUCUCGGAUCAUUUAAAUCAAAAGAGGAUCCUUUAUAUCAUUUUUGUUAUUUUGGUAUUAUUUUAAAAUGAAAUUUGUAUUUCACAUUUCUAGACUUGAAAUGAAAUUCAAAUGAAGUAACACAAUUUACAGUUGAACUUUUUAAAGAUGUACAGUUAAAUAUAUAAUACAUAUAUAUCCCGGAAAAAUGUAUAAACAUUUAUCAUUAGAAAUCUCUUAAGUAAUUCAAAGUUUAUUUAACCACGUUUAAAUUUUUGGAUCCUUUAUAUAUGUAUAACAUAUCCUAGAUUUUAGAGUAAAAAGGUUCCGACGCCAAUAUGUUUACCCAUAUCAGUCUAUCAGACACCCACAACAGAGUCAAGGUAACAUAGACCUUAACCUUACACGAUGUUCAUGAGAACUGUAAAAU
rnacentral:lncRNA from 1 species